rnacentral:rRNA from 1 species
UUACGGGAGGCAGCAGCAAGGAAUUUUGCGCAAUGGGCGAAAGCCUGACGCAGCAACGCCGCGUGAGGGAUGAAGGCCUUCGGGUUGUAAACCUCUUUUCUCAGGGACGAAUAAUGACGGUACCUGGGGAAUAAGCUUCGGCUAACUACGUGCCAGCAGCCGCGGUAAUACGUAGGAAGCAAGCGUUAUCCGGAUUUACUGGGCGUAAAGUGGACGUAGGCGGUCUUUCAAGUCGGAUGUGAAAUCUCCUGGCUUAACUGGGAGGGGUCAUCCGAUACUGUUGGACUAGAGGACAUCAGGGGAAGGUGGAAUUCCCGGUGUAGUGGUGAAAUGCGUAGAUAUCGGGAGGAACACCAGUGGCGAAGGCGGCCUUCCAGGAUGUUUCUGACGCUGAGGUCCGAAAGUGUGGGGAGCGAACAGGAUUAGAUACCCCGGUAGC